rnacentral:rRNA from 1 species
ACGGGAGGCAGCAGUGGGGAAUUUUGGGCAAUGGCCGAAAGGCUGACCCAGCGACGCCGCGUGUGGGAGGAAGCCCUUCGGGGUGUAAACCACUGUCGGGAGGGACGAAUGAGGAGCGUGGGAAUACUGCGCUUCUGUGACGGUACCUUCAAAGGAAGCGCCGGCUAACUCUGUGCCAGCAGCCGCGGUAAGACAGAGGGCGCGAGCGUUGUUCGGAAUUACUGGGCGUAAAGCGCGCGUAGGCGGAUCUGUAUGUCCGUAAGUGAAAUCCCGCCGCUCAACGGCGGGGCUGCUUGGGAAACGGCAGGUCUGGGGACCGGUAGAGGUCGGUAGAAUUCCCGGUGUAGCGGUGGAAUGCGUAGAGAUCGGGAAGAAUACCCGUGGCGAAGGCGGCCGACUGGGCCGGAUCCGACGCUGAUGCGCGAAAGCGUGGGGAGCAAACAGGAUUAGAUACCCUGGUA